rnacentral:lncRNA from 1 species
UUUUUUUUUUAAAUGAAGUAUAGUUGAUUUACAGUGUUUCAGGUGUAUAGCAAAGUUAUUCAGUUAUAUGUACAUAUGUACAUAUAUAUGUGUGUGUGUAUACAUAUGUUUAUUUAUAUAUGCGUGUGUGUAUAUACACCAUAUAUAUAUAUUUUUUCCAUUAUAGGUUAUUACAAGAUACUGAAUGUAGGAGUUCCCGUCAUGGCUCAGUGGUUAAUGAAUCCGACUAGGAACCAUGAGGUUGCGGGUUCGAUCCCUGGUCUCGCUCAGUGGGUUAAGGAUCCGGUAUUGCCGUGAGCUGUGGUGUUGAUCACAGAUGUGGCCUGGAUCCGGUGUUGCUGUGGCUGUCGCAUAGGCCGGUGGCUGCAACUCCAAUUGGACCCCGAACCUGGGAACCUCCAUAUGCCAUGGGUGCAGCCCUAGAAAAAAAGCCAAAAAAAAAAAAUAUUGAAUGUAGUUGUCUAUGCCAUAUAUAGUAAGUCCUUGUUGUUUAUUUUAUAUAUAAUAGUAUGUAUCUGUUAAUCCCAGUCUCCUAAUUUAUCUCUUCAUCCCUUUCUCUUUUGGUAACCAUAAGCUUGUUUUGUCUGUUUCUAUUUUAUAAAUAAGGCCAUUUGUAUCAUAUUUUAUCUUAUUUAUUUAUUUUAAAAGAUUUUUUUGGCCACACCCAUGGCAUGCAGAAGUUCCUGGGCCAGGGAUAAAACCUGUGCCACAGCAGUGACGUGAGCCACAGGAGUGACAACACUGGAUCCUUAACCCACUGAGCUACCAGAGAACUACCUGUUUGCAUUUAUUUUUUUAUUAUUUAUUUAUAUUUAUUUUUAUUUAUCUAUAUUUUUAUCACAUAUAAGUGACAUCCCAUGAUAUUUGUCUUUGACAUAACUUCACGUAGUAUGAUAAUCUCUAGGUCCAUCCAUGUUGCUGCAAAUGGCAUUAUUUCAUUGUUUUCUAUUGCUGAGUGGUAUUCCAUCGUGUAUGCUUACCACAUUUUCUUUAUCCAGUUGUCUGUCAGUGGACAUUUAGGUUGUUGCCAUGUUAAUGAAGGGAUGUUCUAACCAGGACCUCACACCCUUGCUCCUGCUUUGCAACCAUCUCUGGUCACUGGGCUGUGGGGCAUGUGCAGGACCCAGAGGGUUGAUCUCAGAUCUCCAGGUUUAGGAUGGUGUUAGUUACCGAUUGAAUUGACCCAAACAUGUGACCUUAUUUGGAGACAGGGUCUUUGCAGAGGUGAUGAAGUCAAAAUGAGUUCCUUGGGGUGGGCCCUAAUCCAGGACGACAGGUGUCCUUUAAGCAGGGGGCAGUUGGACACAGAUCCAGGGGAAACAUCAAGUGAAGAUGAAGGUGGAGAUGGGGGUGAAGCUUCUCCAAGGCAAGGGGCACCAAAGAUUGGCAGCAAAGCCCCAGAAUCUGCCCAGAUUCUCCCUCGCUGCCCUCAGGGGACUUGGUCCUCCUUUGACUUCUAGCCCCUGGAAUCGUAAUACGUAUACCUCUGUUGUCCUAGCUGCCCAAUUUGUGGUACAUUGUUGAGCAGCUGUAGCCAACAAUACGGCUGGCAUCUUGAUAAAGGGCAUGGAUACUCCCACCUGUCACCCACUGCCCUGCGCAGAGGAAAAAGCAGAGAUGGGGCUUGGGGACGAGGUAGUUCCAAGUUUCCCCAAAUGAACCUGGGAACCAUUUGGCAACUAAGACUGAUACAUUUCAAAUAACCCCCCCCAAAAUAACAUGAUGAGGUCUAGCUUUCUACCUCUUACCUUGGCAUCUGGAUUUUACGUUUAUGAUAAUCAUGGUAAUAUUAGAGGACUGUUGUAUAUUGUGAUCCACUAAGGGAGUGGCACACGUGUGCGGGAUAAUUUACAUGAAGGCCAUGCUUGGUCUUUGCCGCCACUGAGUCAAGGUCUUGUUGGGCCCAUCUUGUGAGCGAACGGACGCUCCAGAGGGCAAAUGACUUGUAGGAGGUGAAUGAUGGAACUAGAGUUCAAGUGCAGGACCCUGGACUUGCAGACCCUGUGAUCGCCCUGCUGUUCUGUGGGAUGGACCACCUGGAGAAUUCUAAAGGGAUUGAUGCUUAGGUCACUGAUUUAACUAGCCUGGGAGGUGGCCUGGGAGAGGAGAGUCUUCACAUUUCCCAGGUGGAGACCUACCAUGAUGGGCAAACCAACAAUGUGUUUAAGGUUAAAAAAAUUUUUUUUUAAUAUUUUGGUAGCUUUUUUAAUAAGAUUUUUAUUUUUUCCAUUAGAAUUGAUUUACAGUGUUCUGCUAAUUUCUACUGUACAGAAAAGUGACCCAGUCAUAUAUAUAAACACACACACAUAUAUAUAUACACACACUUAUAUAUAUGCAUAUGUAUAUAUACACACAUAUAUAUAUACACACACACUUUUUCUGACAUUAUCCUCCAUCGUGUUCCAUCCCAAGUGACUAGAUACAGUUCCCUGUGCUAUACAGCAGGAUCUCAUUGCUUAUCCUCUCCAAAUGCAAUAUUUUGCAUCUAUUAAAAUUUUUUAAGUUAGCUUCUGGAGAAGUUCUCACGGAGGUUGGUGAGGAUUAAUUUUUCCUUGGGUAGAGAUUUUGGGGUCCCACCCAGAAAUUCUGGUGCGUGCUGCAUCAGAAUUUCGAGGAGUGGACUCCAGGUGUCUGUAUUUGAAAGAAGGUCUGAAGGUCAUUUGAGGGUCAUACAGGUUUGGGUUCUAAAGUGUGCUCUAGAGGGAUUGUAGCCCAGGAAGAGCCCUGAUGUCCUCCUGUGAAGCCUGUGCUGGAACACCCUACCUCGUGACCUGGGGAGCGUGGUGGUCUGUUUACUUCAAAGAUUCUAAAGGUAAACAUUAUAGUGUCACACUGGAAAGGACCUGGGACUUAUAGACGGAGUAAAUACUUUUGCAUCAGUCACCGGGUAUGUAACUCCCAACUCAGGAACUGUGUUUUGGAAUUUUACAGAGUUUUGUGCAGGUCCACCAAAUGGAAGCAGUUUCCUAUUUCAUAAACCCAGAGUGCAGUCUUUCUGAUAUUACUGGGCUGGUUUCUUUGUUCUACAAAUGAAGAAACUGAAGCCCUUAGAGUUGUGGCCACUUGUCUAACCCCUGUCAAAGGUGGGUCUGUGGUUGGAAGCUCCGGCUACCAGCUAUACCCUUCUGUUUCUGACCCUGCACCCACCCCGCUGCACUCACUGACCACACCCCUUCAAGAUCCUUGCUCUGGAUUGGGCCCUUCCUGCAAGAAUCACCAAGAUGUGGGGACAUGAUGCUGGGACCUAGGCUAGAGCCUGGGGGGAUCUGCCCAACAAGAGCAGGAAUACGCUCCCGCUGCAUGGCUCAGGGGUGAAGGGAGUCAGGGCUUCCACUCAGGACGUUCUCUGGAACAAAAGACAUGACCUUCUCUGGAGAGCCCACACCUGCCUGGAGAGCCCCCUGUUCCGCCUCCUGUAGGUCUGUGUGUUUCAUCUUGUCCUUCUGCCCUGGGGUGGUGAUCAUCAUUCUGGAGAAGAGACCUUGGAGAGACAGCAGGUGUAGUGGAAAUAAGCACAGCAUCUGGGCUUGGAAUCCUGAGGUCUCAGAUCCACCCUCAGUCGCAUUAGAGCCACUCAGUAGGCUCUCUGGACUCUCCUUUUCUCCUCCCUAAAAAUAUCUACUUUUGGGGUGUUGGUGAAGAGUACACAAGAUAAAAAGUAUCAAAAAGCACCUUAAAACUUUAUGCCAUAUUAGUUGUUAUUCUUGUUAUUGUUGUAAUUAUCCUUGGACUGUUGGUCUGCAUCAGGUUGGUAUGGGAACUCAGGAUGGGGUGGAGUUCUCUUCAAGGCUCAGCAGUUAACGAACCCGACCAGGAUCCAUGAGGAUGCGGGUUCGAUCCCUGGCUUCGCUCAGUGGGUUAAGGAUCUGGCGUUGCCGUGAGCUGUGGUGUAGGUCACAGAUGCAGCUCAGGUCCCAUGUUGCUAUGGCUUUGGUGUAGGCAGCAGCUGCUGCAGCUCUGAUUUGAUCCCUAGCCUGGGAACCUCCAUAUGCCACGGGUGCAGCCU